GCCGCUCUGCACCCUAGCGCCGCCACACGCUACUUGCUCCAUAUGCCGCCGCUCGCCACUCUGCUCCAUCAGCCGCUGCACGCCUCCGCCAAAAUCGUAUCAUUUUACUUCCAACCCCUCUGUUCCAGACCCGCUACAGGGCGAUUUUCCAGAAGUAAUAGAGGAGUAUUUGGAGUAUAUCAGUUAUGAAAUGUAUCGCCUUUAAUCGCCGUGGAAACUUUCUUGCUGACCCCAUUAAUUUUCGAUAUGUACAGGAAGCUGAAGAAUUCUAACCUCCGGAGUUCGUCGGCGAAAGCUAUGUACACUCCGGAAUUUUAUGCCCCGGAGAGGACCUCACUCCGGGUUCUGCUUUUCUUCAAUUCCGCGGGGCUGCUAGAAAUCCUUAUACCAGAAGCAAGAUUACUGGAGGAUCUUCAAGUGGAUAGGCAGCAGUGGUAGCAGCUGGAUUAUGCCCUCUUGCACUUGGUGUUGAUCGGCAGCAGUGGUAGCAUAGGUAUAAGCUUUCUUAAGCAGUGUAUCUCUGGAGUGGUCUCGAGGGUGGGUCGGCAAUGAUUGUGGUAAUGGCGAGUGAAGGAUGCCCGGGUUAUUAAUAUUUCUUGGCAGACUUCCUUAGUCCUUAGCUUCUUUAACAGAUCUAUUAGUGUUUUUUUGUUAUGUACAUUUGUGUUUUGUGUUGGUAUAUGUCAGUUUUUUUUUGGUGAAAUAUAUGUCGUCUUUUUAUUCU